rnacentral:rRNA from 1 species
UACGGAGGGUGCGAACGUUGUCCGGAAUCACUGGGCGUAAAGCGCAUGUAGGUGGUUUGGUAAGUGGGCGAUUAAAGACCGAUGCUCAACAUCGGGAAUGUUACCUAUACUGCCAGACUCGAGAAUGACAGGGGUAAGCGGAACUUUAGGUGUAGGAGUGAAAUCCGUAGAUAUCUAAAGGAACACCAAUGGCGAAGGCAGCUUACUGGGUCUUUUCUGACACUAAGAUGCGAAGGCGUGGGGAGCAAACGGG